GGGCUUGUAGCGCAGGGGAAGCGCGCCGGUUCGGCAUUCCGGAGGCCGGCGGUUCGAGUCCGCCCAGGUCCA
rnacentral:tRNA from 1 species